GGGGCUGUAGCUCUGUGGUACAGCACAUGCCUUGCAGGUGUGAGGUCCUGGGUUCAAUCCCCAGCACCA
rnacentral:tRNA from 1 species